GACGAACGCUGGCGGCGUGCUUAACACAUGCAAGUCGAACGGAAAGGCCCUGCUUUUGUGGGGUGCUCGAGUGGCGAAUGGGUGAGUAACACGUGAGUAACCUGCCCUUGACUUUGGGAUAACUUCAGGAAACUGGGGCUAAUACCGGAUAGGAGCUCCUGCUGCAUGGUGGGGGUUGGAAAGUUUCGGCGGUUGGGGAUGGACUCGCGGCUUAUCAGCUUGUUGGUGGGGUAGUGGCUUACCAAGGCUUUGACGGGUAGCCGGCCUGAGAGGGUGACCGGCCAAAUUGGGACUGAGAUACGGCCCAGACUCCUACGGGAGGCAGCAGUGGGGAAUAUUGCACAAUGGGCGGAAGCCCGAUGCAGCAACGCCGCGUGCGGGAUGACGGCCUUCGGGUUGUAAACCGCUUUCGCCUGUGACGAAGCGUGAGUGACGGUAAUGGGUAAAGAAGCACCGGCUAACUACGUG
rnacentral:rRNA from 1 species